rfam:Myotis brandtii contig283859, whole genome shotgun sequence.
AUACUUACCUGGCAGGGGAGAUACCAUGAUCACGAAGGUGGUUUUCCCAGGGCGAGGCUUAUCCAUUGCACUCCGGAUGUGCUGACCCCUGCGAUUUCCCCAAAUGUGGGAAACUCGACUGCAUAAUUUGUGGUAGUGGGGGACUGCGUAAAAAAAAAUUUUUUUU